AACGAACGCUGGCGGCAUGCCUAACACAUGCAAGUCGAACGGGAUCCUAGCUUGCUAGGUGAGAGUGGCGGACGGGUGAGUAACACGUGGGAAUCUGCCUUUUGGUUCGGGAUAACCGCGGGAAACUGCGGCUAAUACCGAAUGCCCUCGAGAGAGGAAAGAUUUAUCGCCAGAAGAGGAGCCGCGUCCGAUUAGGUAGUUGGUGGGGUAAAGGCCUACCAAGCCGACGAUCGGUAGCUGGUCUGAGAGGAUGAUCAGCCACACUGGGACUAGAGAUACGGCCCAGACUCCUAC
rnacentral:rRNA from 1 species